UUCCGUAGGUGAACCUGCGGAGGGAUCAUUGCUGGAACGCGCCCCAGGCGCACCCAGAAACCCUUUGUGAACUUAUACCUUUUGUUGCCUCGGCGCAUGCUGGCCUCUAGUAGGCCCCUCACCCCGGUGAGGAGAAGGCACGCCGGCGGCCAAGUUAACUCUUGUUUUUACACUGAAACUCUGAGAAAAAACACAAAUGAAUCAAAACUUUCAACAACGGAUCUCUUGGUUCUGGCAUCGAUGAAGAACGCAGCGAAAUGCGAUAAGUAAUGUGAAUUGCAGAAUUCAGUGAAUCAUCGAAUCUUUGAACGCACAUUGCGCCCUCUGGUAUUCCGGAGGGCAUGCCUGUUCGAGCGUCAUUUCAACCCUCAAGCAUUGCUUGGUGUUGGGGCACUGCUUCUAACGAAGCAGGCCCUGAAAUCUAGUGGCGAGCUCGCCAGGACCCCGAGCGUAGUAGUUAAACCCUCGCUCUGGAAGGCCCUGGCGGUGCCCUGCCGUUAAACCCCCAACUUUUGAAAAUUUGACCUCGGAUCAGGUAG
rnacentral:rRNA from 1 species